rnacentral:rRNA from 1 species
UGAGUACAAGAUGCUACGGCAUUGAAGCAGUCUAUGUCAUACUUCCAAGAAAAGCUUGCAAUGUCAUAAACAAAUAAUGCCUGUACCAUAACCGACACAGGUGGGUAGGUAGAGUAUACUAAGGGGCGCGAGAUAACUCUCUCUAAGGAACUCGGCAAAAUGACUCCGUAACUUCGGGAGAAGGAGUACCUUAUUUUAUAAGGUUGCAAUAACAAGGUCCAAGCAACUGUUUACCAAAAACACAGGUCUCCGCUAAGUCGUAAGACGAUGUAUGGGGGCUGACGCCUGCCCAGUGCCAGAAGGUUAAAGAAGUUGGUUAGCAUUAGCGAAGCUGAUAACUGAAGCCCUGGUGAACGGCGGCCGUAACUAUAACGGUCCUAAGGUAGCGAAAUUCCUUGUCGGGUAAGUUCCGACCCGCACGAAAGGCGUAAUGAUUUGGAUACUGUCUCGGAGAGGGGCUCGGUGAAAUAGACUUGUCUGUGAAGAUGCGGACUACCUGCACCUGGACAGAAAGACCCUAUGAAGCUUUACUGUAACUUGAGAUUGAAAUUGGACUUUAUUUGCGCAGUAUAGGUGGGAGACCUCGAAAGUAUUCUUGCGGGAAUAUUGGAGUCAUCAGUGAGAUACCACUCUUAUAAUGUUAGAUUUCUAACUUUGUAUCAUUAUCUGGUCAAAGAACAGUUUCAGGCGGGCAGUUUGACUGGGGCGGUCGCCUCCCAAAUGGUAACGGAGGCGCACAAAGGUUUCCUCUGAACGUGUAGAAAUCGUAUCUAGAGUGUAAAGGCAUAAGGAAGCUUGACUGUGAGACCUACAAGUCGAGCAGGGACGAAAGUCGGUCUUAGUGAUCUGACGGUGCUGAGUGGAAAGGCCGUCACUCAACGGAUAAAAGUUACUCUAAGGAUAACAGGCUGAUCUCCCCCAAGAGUUCACAUCGACGGGGAGGUUUGGCACCUCGAUGUCGGCUCAUCGCAUCCUGGGGCGGUAGUACGUCCCAAGGGUUGGGCUGUUCGCCCAUGAAAGCGGUACGCGAGCUGGGUUCAGAACGUCGUGAGACAGUUCGGUCCAUAUCCGGUGUAGGCGUUAGAAUAUUGAGAGGAGCCUUCUUUAGUACGAGAGGACCGAGAAGGACAUACCUCUGGUGUACCAGUUAUCGUGCCAACGGUAAACGCUGGGUAGCUAUGUAUGGAGAGGAUAACCGCUGAAAGCAUCUAAGUGGGAAGCCCACCUCAAGAUAAGUA